rnacentral:lncRNA from 1 species
CACGGUAUUGCUGAGAGCCACGGGAUGUGAGAGGCGCAAAGCCAACCAUGAAAAAAUGAAGCCGGGGGAAUGGGAUGAGGUUCACAGCAAGUUUGCGAAGGUCUGAGUUGAGCUGACCGGGGAAACGAAGGCAGCAUGUAACACCACUCAUGGUGGCAGAAAUCAGGUGGUUCAGAUCCCCAACUGAUAAACAAAAUUUUCCAGUUAGUUACCAUAAAGAGUAAAGGCAUCUAUCACAUUGAUCAUCACAUCACGGUGAAAAACUAUAUAAUGUAACAGGGAAAGAAAAUUCUCCAAAGUCCCAAAUUUAUUUAUUCUGCGGUUAAAAAAAAACAUAUUUCUUCUCAAAACGCAGGCUUAUAAAUAUAAGUUACACAGCAACAAAAGAUGGUUGAUACUUGUAGCAAGCCGUGGACGACCAUGUGAUAAACAAUGAGCGUAUCAAAACAAGUAUUAAUGUGGUUAAAGCUAUUAUCCAAGCAAUGAAGCAUUACUAAAAAUGGUAGGACCUAUGAAACCCAGGUUCCGUUUGGAAAAACAAUGGUUUUUAGUUGUCAAAACCUUCAUUUCAUAGCGCUUUUGACUUGUGGAAUUUAGAUAGCUUUCAAAACAGCUCUUAGAAUUUUACCAAACACCUUAAAGCUAAGAAAGAAAGCCCAAAAGCCAGGGUUACCAAACGGGCACCUAAUCUUAUAUCUUAAACAGCCAUAGCAAAUGAGGCACUCACAACUGUAUUUGUGAGUCCAAGUACAGCGUCGAUGCACCACGUUAAUAAGCAUACCCUAAGUGCCUUGAUAGUGCAGCCAGCCGCGUGGUUGGCCGCACUGCCCUUAAGACAGAAAAGAAUGGGAAAACCAUGUCGCUUAAAGAGCCCCGGGAAGAUCACCGAGUAAUUGAGGAUAUAUUUGUGCACCAACCAUACCAUGAGCACACAGUUUAUUCACGUUCUCAUCCCUAUAGGUAGACUAGAGUAUUGUUUCCAAUUCUUGACACAGCAAAUUCCCCGUUUAAAAUAAAGGUCCAAACCAAACUCACCAAAUACCAUCUCACAUCACGAAUCAUGAUUGCGUAUUUCCUAAUUCAGUUUCCAGGAAAAAAAUGAACGAAAAACAAAAUAAAAGCAAAACUAUAUUAAAUUAAACAAACAAACCAUUUCAAUUGGAUAUUGAGAGGGAGGGAGCAAUGAAAGGUUAUCGUUGAAAGGGGUGCUUACAGCUGGGAGUUGUGAGCUUGAGAGUACGGAAGCAGAUAUCGUAAAGGGCUUCAUUAUCAAGAACCAUACACUCAUCUGCAUUUUCAACAAGCUGGUGAACAGAGAGAGUUGCAUUGUAAGGCUCGACCACAGUGUCCGAGACCUUUGGGGAUGGGAACACUGAGAAUGUGAGCAUCAUUCGAUCUGGGUAUUCCU